UGAAGACUUAAGAAGCACGCAGAGGAUUUUUGUCACUCAUGAAGACUCAACAGAGAAAUCCAAACACCCCUCUGUGAAGUGUUUCUGGAGUUUAUCCCCUGCUGAAAGUCUCCUCCAAGCAUUAUUAAGCAAUCAACAGGCCCUCGCAACGUCUUCCCAUUUUAAGCUACCUAAUUUUCUGUUCACAGCUGCAUGUGAAACUUUCUUCUGUGUGCUGGUAGGUAGCAUCAAAAAAAAAAAAAAAAAACACCAAAAAAAUAAACAAACCUGCUUUUGUUCAGUCAUUUUAAUUUCUUUCUAG
rnacentral:lncRNA from 1 species